AUGCGUGAGCGUACCCGCGAUGUACCGGAGCAGGUGCUUGAUGGCAGCGAGGUGAUCGCUUGCCGGGGCUUCCAUGAACCUACUCAGGUACCCGACAACGAACGUGAUGUCCGGUCGGGUGUGCACAAGGUACCUAAGGCUCCCGAUGAUGCUGCGGUAGAGUGUAGCAUCCACUGCCUUCUCAGAGCUAUCCUUGCUGAGCUUCAGCCGUGCCUCCAUUGGAGCGUGCACGGCAUGGCAGUCCUUCAUGCCUGCUUGCUCGAGCAUCUUGGUGGCAUAGGCCGUCUACGUGAUCAUGAUGCGACCACCCUCCUGGUUCACCUCCAGCCCAAGGUAGUGCCGGAGCAGCCCAAGGUCGCUCAUGCUGAAGAGACGAUGCAUCUCUCCCUUGAAGAGUUGAACCUCUUCGUGUUCUGCCCCGGCGAUGACCAGGUCGUCGACGUAGAUGCCGACGAUGAGCAGCGUGUUCGCGGUGCCACACGAGUACACGCCGUGCUCAGAAGCACUGCGUGA
rnacentral:rRNA from 1 species